AUGAGAGGAGCAGGCGGGUCUACCCUGUGAGUCGCCGCCCAUGCCCAGAGCCCCUCCAUACCAGCCUGGCAAAUCGGACUCAAGCAUAAGAAUGAAGUCCUGCUGCCCUCACCCAGCUGGUCCUAGGAAGGGGAGGUGGACGCCAAAGGAAACAGCCACUGGGGCAGGCCUAUGGGCCCGCAGUUGGAUUCAAAAAGGUGGUCUCCCUUCACCAGGCCCCUCCAGGCCUCCUGUCUCCACCCCGCUUUCCAUCCUCUGCUUAGCCUUCUUCCACGCCUGUGCCUCAGCUGCACACUGCUUUCAGCGGAGGCUGUCACUCGGCCCUUCCCAAACUGUGCCUGCAGGGGAAGUUGCCUUGACCUCUGUCAUCUCUACACUCUUCCAGGACUCCCACAGCCAUGUAUGUCUUCACCCCGUCAACACCAGCUGGGGCCAUUAGCUGGUUUGCUUUUAGGACCGGGGACCACCCUCAACCCAAGUCUGUGGAGAGAAGUGAGCCCCUCAUCUCUUCCACCACCAACCACUCCAUCUUCAUAUCUCCCACCCACGAAUGACUCUGCCAUCUGUCCCAAAGAACUCCUCAUCCCCGGAUCCUGAAUACUGGGCAGAAGAGAGGAACAAACAGCCAAGACAACAUAUUUUCCUUUUUCUGACAUUUUUAUUAAUCAAAUGUUAAAAAAUAACUAUCAUCCAUAAAUGCCCAAGCACCUAGCUGGUCCUCUCACCCCAAAGUACUGAAGUAAUGCCCUGCUCAGCCUCUUUUGCAACUCUGCUCCUGCUUUCCCUGCUCCAGCUCAGAGACAGACCCUGGAGGGAGGGUGGGACAGAGCUGAAAGCAGCAAGCAUGGCACAGGGCAGACAGCUCCAGCUGACGCUGGACAAGAUUAGAAGGGUAGGUCCUCAGACACCGUUUUCAGGACCCAGCACCCAGCCAGCUUCCCAGCCCCACUCUCCAGAUCACUUCCCAUAGCCCAGUUCCUUUCUGCCCUUCCCCUACUACCAAGGCCUUGGCCCUUACCCCCACCAGAAUCCCUGCACACCUUUUCCAGCCCCAACCCGCCCCCUGAACUCCCCUGGGAUGAGGACUUCUGAAGCCAGGAGCUCCGCAGAGCAUCCCAGAUGAGUGCUCAGAGUCCAUAGGGAAGGCUGUCCUGAGCCUGGACCUUACAGAGAUGAGGAGAGGUGCAGACUGGGGAAUGAGGUGGUGGGGGUAAAGAGAAGUUUUAUUUCCAGGUCCAGGGCCUCUAAAAUCCCCUGCCCCCAACACCCUCAACAAGUUCCAAGAAGAGGUCCUCAGCUCCGAGCAACAGGGCUCUCCAUCUUCACACUCCUGGCUGCUUCUCCAAUCAGCUCCCAGAAGCUUCCAAACUCCAGUUUCGAGUCAUUACAGUUACCCAGGUUGGCAAUUUUCUCUUCUAGCCCACAGUUGCUCUGAGGACAGGAAAGACACCACAACUCAGCAAGACAGUACCUUCAGAUCUUCCUGCCCCACCCUGGCCUGGGGUGAGUAGGAGGACAGGAGCCUACCAGGUGUUGGCUAGAGGGAAAGGCAGGGGUUACCAGUGCCAGCUCCAGUGAACUCUGGAGCGCUAGCUUGGAAAGUCAGGGGUCUGAAUGGGGUGGGGUCCACUCCCUCAGUACCGGCAUGAGAUGUGGCAGCUGCUGGGUAACCAGGUCUCGCAGUUCAGUGGGGGUCAGUGUUUCCUUUCCACCCUCCACAGAAUACUGGUGGAAGUUCUUGAUGAGGGUCUCAAUGGCCCUCUCUACAUCACUGAAUUCUUGGGCAUCCUGAAAAUAGCAGACACAACCCACGUCAUGAGGGCCCCCAUCCACCCUACAAAACCCUUUUCAGGAGCCUCAGAAAAUCAACAGGAUAGAAAGCAGCUAGAAUCCUCUCUGGAGUCCAGAAUCCUGCCCCACUCGCUCUCCCAGAGCCCAGCCUCCAGGCCACAGUGGCCUCUGCCCUAAGCCAUGGAUUAGGUAAACCUCUCCGCCCCAAAUCCCAGGCAGGGCAGGCCCCGGCAUGUGCCCAGACAUCCUAUUUCCCGAAGAACUCCAUUUGCAUCACUCUGUGUAGGCAUAAGGGAGGAGAUUUGGGGCUUUCUGGCAGUAUCUGCAGGGUAAGGCCUACGAAAGAAGCCGAAGCCAUCGGGGGCACGAACCCUCAUAACAAGAAGAGAACAGACCAGAUGAGCGGGCCCACCUCGGCAUUGGCUGACCGACACUGUCCCAUGGUGCCUGGUACACUGGUCCUUUCGAGAGUUAGUUUCGUCGUCUGUCCUAUAGCCUGCCCCACAGGAGCUGAUGGCUCAUGAUCUGCCUAGAGGAAGGGGGAGAACUCAUCAUUCUUUUUCUCAUGACCGCUUUUGGCUGUACCCAACAUACACCUUCACCUAAGCAGUUGACGUCUACUUCACACGGAUCCCAUCCCUGCCCAAACUCCAGGAGCUAAAGUCACAGUUCCUAGGCCAACCCACUCGGAAGGGGAUCCCCCCCAGGCCCCACCUCAGCUUCAUUCUUCCCACCUCCUCCAGCCACCCCUGCGAGACCUGGGCAAGAGAGGUGUGCGGUCCUCCCUGAAGAGACAGCUCAUCUAGGCUGAAGGCACUGGACUUGCUUACCUGCUGGCAGCUGCAGAGACGGGAUGGAGGAGCCAGCUCACCUGAGCUCAGUUCUUAUACCUGGGGGAAGGGAGGGGAAGGCAGGGGCAGGGCCAGUGCCUUAUCCCUCAGCCACCCCAGGUAUUGCAGCCUCCUGGGCUGGGAGCCAGCUUUGUGAGCCCCACCCUCUACAGUCCUAGAGUUGGUCCCCACCCCUACCAUGAGGAGGAAGCCAUGGAGGGCUGGGUAUGGGAUACCCCUGGCACGAGCUCACCUCCCAGCGUGCCAGGGAGAGAAGAGAAGGCAGGCUAGGGGGUACAGAAGGAACCUUACUUGGGAGAGUGGGGACCUGUAGAGGCUGUGAGGCAGGGAAGCAGAGGGAGUCUGCAUGGGAAGGAGAAGCAAGGGCUGACCAAGGUGGGUUUGUGGGAUGAGGAAAGAGGUCCCCAGCGUCUCUGUGCUUUGACUCCCUUCUCUCCUCUCCCUCCUAACCAGAACUGACUUGGCUAGUAACGCUCAGGCCUGCUGAAACCCAGAGCCAAGCCUUCCCUAGUCCUGACAGCACGGGUAUGAAAAGGUAGAAAGAAGGGCCAGAGCCGCGCACCCUGACGCUGGGAACACACUGAGCCUUCCCUGAUGCCCUGCCAGCGCCUUGAAGCAGCCCAGGGCACCCAUGUGCAAGGCUCAAAGGAGCUGCUUGGCAGGAACCCCAGGGGAAGCCUAGACUGCAGUUCCUGGGACUGUGACCAACCCAACUAGCCCUCCUCACCUGCCCAGGAACUAGGACCUGAACUCAUGGGCAAGGACAGACCGUGGUGGAAGGGUUGAGAGGUCAGAAGAAGGAUUGCGUGGGCCUAGAGUAAAAAUUGCCUUCCUAACUCUGGAA